rnacentral:tRNA from 1 species
GUCUCGUUGGUGUAGUUGGUUAUCACGUGGGUCUCAUAUCUCCAUGUAUGACUGUUAGCUGUUAGCAGAUAUCCCAAGGCCGCCAGUUCGAGUCUGGCACGGGACA